UACGUAGGGUGCAAGCGUUGUCCGGAAUUAUUGGGCGUAAAGAGCUCGUAGGCGGUUUGUCGCGUCUGCUGUGAAAACUCGGGGCUUAACCCCGGGCCUGCAGUGGGUACGGGCAGACUAGAGUGCGGUAGGGGAGACUGGAAUUCCUGGUGUAGCGGUGGAAUGCGCAGAUAUCAGGAGGAACACCAAUAGCGAAGGCAGCUCGCUAGGACGGUACUGACGCUGAGACGCGAAAGCGUGGGGAGCGAACAGG
rnacentral:rRNA from 1 species